rnacentral:rRNA from 1 species
UACGUAGGUGGCGAGCGUUGUCCGGAUUUACUGGGGUAAAGGGAGCGUAGGCGGACUUUUAAGUGAGAUGUGAAAUACCCGGGCUCAACUUGGGUGCUGCAUUUCAAACUGGAAGUCUAGAGUGCAGGAGAGGAGAAUGGAAUUCCUAGUGUAGCGGUGAAAUGCGUGGAGAUUAGGAAGAACACCAGUGGCGAAGGCGAUUCUCUGGACUGUAACUGACGCUGAGGCUCGAAAGCGUGGGGAGCAAACAGGAUUAGAUACCCCCGUA